rnacentral:rRNA from 1 species
UACGUAGGUGACAAGCGUUGUCCGGAUUUACUGGGCGUAAAGAGCGCGCAGGCGGUCGGUCAAGUCGAGUGUGAAAGCCCCCGGCUCAGCUGGGGAGGGUCAUUCGAUACUGAUCGACUCGAAGGCAGGAGAGGGUAGUGGAAUUCCCGGUGUAGUGGUGAAAUGCGUAGAUAUCGGGAGGAACACCAGUGGCGAAGGCGACUACCUGGCCUGUUCUUGACGCUGAGGCGCGAAAGCUAGGGGAGCAAACGGG